GUGGGGAAUAUUGGGCAAUGGGGGAAACCCUGACCCAGCGACGCCGCGUGAGGGAAGAAGGCCUUAGGGUCGUAAACCUCUGUUGUGUGGGAAGAAGAGCGUGACGGUACCACACGAGGAAGUCCCGGCUAACUACGUGCCAGCAGCCGCGGUAAUACGUAGGGGACGAGCGUUGUCCGGAUUUACUGGGCGUCAAGGGCGUGUAGGCGGUCAUUUAAGUCAGCUGUGAAAUGGUUUGGCUUAACCGGAUCAUGCGGUUGAAACGGGAUGACUGGAGUGCUGGAGAGGCAAGUGGAAUUCCCAGUGUAGCGGUGAAAUGCGUAGAGAUUGGGAAGAACACCGGUGGCGAAGGCGACUUGCUGGCCAGCAACUGACGCUGAGGCGCGAAAGCCAGGGGAGCAAACGGGAUUAGAAACCCCUGUAGUCC
rnacentral:rRNA from 1 species